rnacentral:tRNA from 1 species
GGGGAAAUAGCUCAGUUGGUUAGAGUAUUGGCCUGUCACGCCAAAGGUCGCGGGUUCGAGACCCGUUUUUCCCG